GACUGCCAGCGCUGCCAAUCGCUGCCCGCCGCCCUAGCAUCCCAAGCCGCCUUCCGUCGUGCUGGACCGGCGCGCAGGUGUUCAUGAAAAAAAUGCACAAAAUCCCGACUGACCGGAAUAAUUCAUGAAGAAGGGGCUGGAUCCGUGGGUCAGAGAACACAGGACCAGUUUGCCAUCCCAAGGCCCAAGUCUGGUGUCUCGGAUUUGGCCCUGCGUUGCCUACUCCUGCUGGAUCUUGUCCAGUCGAGGGACAAAAACGUCCUGACAUCUUCCUGAAGAAUGGGAAGAAAGGAGAUUCUGGAAAGCACAGAUUGCAAUA